rnacentral:lncRNA from 1 species
GUGAAGGCCCUCGCGAGGCUUUGAAAAUUCUAUUAAAAAGUGUCCAGUGGGGUUUAAAAAGUCGCCAAAAGUAGCCCUUGCAGGGCUUUUUGGGGCAAAUUUUAGAACAAUCUCUUUCUAACUCCAUAGGCCGCUCCACUCUUGGUUGGAAACACAAUCCCCAUUUUUGAAUUUAGAAAAAUGCGUAAAAAUGAGCCGCACAACACAGUUUCAUUUUUUGCCAACAUAAAAUUUACACGUGCCUACUAGCAAAUAAGUGCGAAAACUAAGCCAUUUGACGUCCCAUGAGCUGUCCUUCUCCUCAGUCGCACAGUUUCAAUUUUUGAAGGCUGUAGCCGUAAUUAAUCACGACUCCUUUUUCAUGUUGGCUUUUAAGUUUUGGAUUAUAUACACGGGCAUGUGUGGUGUACUAGACAUCCACAGAGGAGCUUCCUGCCCAUGUGUGGCCAGCACUCCGUCUUCUUCGCGAAGAUAGGUUAUCAACGGCUGGUAUUUUACUCGUAAUAAAGGAUUUUAUGAGUUCAAAUCAUGUCCUAACUUGGUGAAAAUCAACUCCCAUGGUUGUACCUAUAUCGGAUUAGUCAGUUGCCAGCAAAAAUGAAAAUACGACAGUGGAAAGUUUUGAAGCGGUGCCAAUGGUGUACUGCGUAAAAAACAGAUAUUUGCGAACUAAAAAAAUUGUUACGUAAAUACGAAAAAACGAAUUCGGGAAUGCUCCACAUUACUCCAGCUGUAUACUCAGCUGUGUAUACUCAGCUGUUAUCACUAAACAUGCGGCGGGAUUUCGCCGGAGCGCAAAGAAUGUACCUCAUGAGUUUCCAUUUCUAUUCGGUGUUUCUGAACGGUUUCUCACUUGAACCCUCAACGACAAACAUAAUGGUCUUUACCCUCCUGACAAUUCACAUACUUUAUUUAACAACCUGCUUGCAUGCUGCCAAUGUCGUGCUUUAUGCUAAUAAGGAUUUUAAGGACCCAAAGUGUGACAUAUCCCUCCAGGGCUGCAAUGCUAUUUGCCCAAAUGUGUCAGGCAAGGUAACCUCUAUUCAGCCAUCGAAAGGCGCUUGCAUGAGGUUCUUCAGCACUCCGAAUUGCAAAGGUGGGCCUCCAGUUUACAAGGCGGCAUACACCGAUGAAUUUCGCAUAGGAUUGCCCGAUCUAACUGGCAGCAUCUUUCAGACAGCGAAAGGCAUAGGCGAUUGUAACACACCAAACGGAAUCCCGCAGAAUUCCCUUGGGUUUUUCUCUGAGAAGCACUUCAAAGGAAAAUCUUGCGUUGUGCCGGUAAGUGGCUGCAAAGCAUUAAAUCAAGAUCUGGCGGGCAAAUCGCAGUCUUUCAUCAUGAACUCGAAGUGCUGCACUGUCUACGGGAACAAGAACUGUUCAGAACCGGGGAUUUUAGCUUUCGUGGCAACCGAUUUUGGAACCGCGUAUGCAGAUUACUCAGGCAAUCCUGAUUGGGCCAAAUACAAAACUAUCUCUUCCGUCAAAGAUUCUUGCGAAUAACGGAGGGGAAACAACGGAAAAGAGUUUAG